ensembl:lncRNA
GGUAGUGGUAGUAAUAGUAGCAUUUAUUUUAUUAUUAUUAUUAGCAGUAUUAUCUAUUUUAUCAAUUAACACUAAUAACCUAUCUUGGCUCUAAAGGUAGAAUAGGAUAGUAGAAAAAAACACACUUCUGAAUAAUUUUGUACGCUAGUCUGACUCAUAUUGAACGCAGCAGAUAGGCCGUAUAGAGUAUAACACAGUAGCAGUUUGAAUGCUGCACUACAGGUCCCCUGUGAAUUCUAGUAAUUACUGCUCUAGUCAGAAACAUUUGAGUAAUCGAUACUACUGGGUUUUGAUAUUGCUUUUUCAAAAUUGAAUGAAAUGAGGCAGUGGACCGUAUUAACUUUUCGCCAAAUCCUUUUUUUUUAUUUCUAGGCCAGCACCAUUUGGUCUAUGUUAUACAAUAAUGUACAUUAUUAAUUUCUGUUUAGGAUCAAGAGAAAGAUUUUAGCAUUGCACUUACAAGGGCAGUUGAUGAUUUUCUGUGGAAAUGAAAACAGAGAGACAAAUCUUAGGUUUACGAUUACAAAUGAAUGCAAGCAGGGAUUUUUGGAUUAGAUUCAUUUUGCCAUCAGAAACGCACUGUUCUGUACACACUCACUGUAAAUGUUUAUAUCAAGGGUGCCCAAUCUUAUCCGCAAAGGGCCGGUGUGGGUGCAGGUUUUCAUUCCAACCAAAGACUUCAGCAGCAGAGAGCGAACGUUUGUGUUAUUUAUGCGGAACUCUGGACCUGUCCACAUAGCCUGACGGGGUCAUACAAUGUUGACCACACACACACACACACACUUAUUUUACACCGUGGGGCACAGAACAACAUGCAUAGAGACACAGAACCCUGGUAUUGGCUACUCGAGAUAAACUAAAAUCAUUACUGCAUGACUGUCAAUAAUGUGAAUAAUGUUAACAUAAUAAUAUAGAGCAGUUUUGCCAUCAUGUAAUGCCUUCACUUUAAGUUAGAAGUGCUGGAAGGACAUGCACGAUGUGUUUAUUAUGGAGAACCUGGAACCCCUACCCCCAGGUGUUUCUGUGGAUAAAUUCUGCUAAUUAAAAUAAGAUAAAAAUUUAGUUAAAAAAAACGUUUUUCUGCCAAUAAUACACUUUGACUUGUCUGUAAAUUGAUUAAGGAGCCAGUGUAAGAAACACAGUGGGAAAUGCAGUCUGCCUGAAGAUGCCUAAAGCUUGAUUCACACUGCACCAAAAGACGCUGACUCAUGCCAAUUCAUGCCUCUGUUGCCGCUGGGCGGCGGUUGUUUUCAACAACUGAACAUAUUUAGCUGGCGUUUGUCAUGGAAUGUCUGAGCAGUGUGGUAUGAUUUUCC